rnacentral:rRNA from 14 species
GUCAGCUCGUGUCGUGAGAUGUUGGGUUAAGUCCCGCAACGAGCGCAACCCUCGCCUUUAGUUGCCAGCAUUUAGUUGGGCACUCUAGAGGGACUGCCGGUGAUAAGCCGGAGGAAGGUGGGGAUGACGUCAAGUCAUCAUGCCCCUUACACUCUGGGCUACACACGUGCUACAUUGGGUAGAACAAUAAGUUGCUAAGUUGCGAAACCAAGCGAAUCUUCAAAUCUACUCUAAGUUCGGAUUGUAGGCUGCAACUCGCCUACAUAAAGAUGGAAUCGCUAGUAAUCGCUGGUCAGCUACACAGCGGUGAAUCCGUUCCCGGGCCUUGUACACACC